GACGGGGGGGGCAAGUGUUCUUCGGAAUGACUGGGCGUAAAGGGCACGUAGGCGGUGAAUCGGGUUGAAAGUGAAAGUCGCCAAAAAGUGGCGGAAUGCUCUCGAAACCAAUUCACUUGAGUGAGACAGAGGAGAGUGGAAUUCCCGGUGUAGCGGUGAAAUGCGCAGAUAUCGGGAAGAACACCCGUGGCGAAGGCGGCUCUCUGGGACGGUACUGACGCUGAGACGCGAAAGCGUGGGGAGCGAACAGG
rnacentral:rRNA from 1 species